rnacentral:rRNA from 1 species
AUUGAACGCUGGCGGAAGGCCUAACACAUGCAAGUCGGGAGCGCGGCGGAAGGGUGAGUCAUGUAUGGGGAUCUGCCUGAUGGAGGGGGAUAACUAGUGGAAACGGUAGAUAAUACCGCAUACAAUCCGAUGAACCCACAUGGGAUUAGCUUGUAGGUGAGGUAACGGAUCACCUAGGCGACGAUCCCUAGCUGGUCUGCGAGGAUGAUCAGCAAAACUGGGACUGAGACACGGCCCAGACUCCUACGGGAGGCAGAAGUGGGGAAUAUUGCACAAUGGGCGCAAGCCUUAUGCAGCCAUGCCGCGUGUAUGAAGAAGGCCUUCGGGUUGUAAAGUUCUUUCGGUAGCGAGGCGUUAACUACAGAAGAAGCACCGGCUAACUCCGUGCCAGCCGCCGCGGUAAUUC